AUUGAACGCUGGCGGCAUGCUUUACACAUGCAAGUCGAACGGUAACAGGCCGCAAGGUGCUGACGAGUGGCGAACGGGUGAGUAAUGCAUCGGAACGUGCCCAGUCGUGGGGGAUAACUGCUCGACAGAGCAGCUAAUACCGCAUACGAUCUAUGGGUGAAAGCGGGGGACCGUAAGGCCUCGCGCGAUUGGAGCGGCCGAUGUCAGAUUAGGUAGUUGGUGGGGUAAAGGCUCACCAAGCCAACGAUCUGUAGCUGGUCUGAGAGGACGACCAGCCACACUGGGACUGAGACACGGCCCAGACUCCGACGGGAGGCAGCAGUGGGGAAUUUUGGACAAUGGGGGCAACCCUGAUCCAGCAAUGCCGCGUGUAGGAAGAAGGCCUUCGGGUUGUAAACUGCUUUUGUACGGAACGAAACGGUCUGGGUUAAUACCCUGGGCUAAUGACGGUACCGUAAGAAUAAGCACCGGCUAACUACGUGCCAGCAGCCGCGGUAAGAC
rnacentral:rRNA from 1 species